CGGACGACCUUGGCGGAUAAAAACAGUUACAAGAUCGGCUUAAUCGGCCAUGUCUUGAUGGUUUUCGGUGUAAAUAAUUGUUAAAAUUGUCGGUUAAAUAACAGUUGCAUAACACCAAAAAUGAGGCGUACUUACUGGUUUCGCCGAAAGGGAUGGCGGCUAUUGACAAGAAAUUCAACGAAUUGAAGUUCCAAACGAGGAAAUCUUAUCACGCCUGGAUAGAAUCCAAUGAAAGAGUUCUCAAAGCACGAGACGAUCUUUCCAACUUCUCUUGGUCAGUCCAACAUCUAGAAUAGAAAUUCUCCUCCCAUCAUUCCCAGAUUUUGGAUUUUACAUAAUUUAUCGUGUUCAACCAUCAAGGCACGUGACCCAAAAAGUGUUACGCCGUCACAGUUAGUCACUUUGUUGUUGUUCCAUUCGUCAAGUGAACAAUUAUCGUGACGUAAUAUUUGUUAAACCCAAAUAGCUGAUGACGCAUUCUUUACACAUCACUAGCUCCUCGAGCGAUGGGAUAAAUACGUGAAAACAGAAAAAUACAAGUAAGCUCGAUAAGCUGGUGAACAUAGCAAAAUUUUAUGCCAACACAAAUUAACGAUAACGUGGACCGUCCUAGAAGGGUUUCACCUGGUUUUAUCAGAUAACCUUGGUGGAACGAGUUGAAAGGCAGACUAGAAGAACGACGUAAUUAGGAGGCAAAACCGGAUGAUAUAUCGCGCCAUUCCAAUACCUAAGUCGUUUGAUUCUGGCACACCACUGGAAACAACACAUUUGGGAAAUAAACGGGAGUUCAUCGAGUACCAUCACGAUGCAAACGGCUGCCUAUAUAGGCGUGACGGAUAUCGAAGUAGGUGGCCCAUAAAUCUUUCCACUAGUCAUUCGACAGUGCAGUUUUCAAAGUCGAUACUUUACGAAAGUCUAAGUGAACGCCAUUUACAAGAGCCUCGAUUGCUUUUAAUGAGUGUAGUUUAAGUGAUUUGGAACGCAAAUAGAUCGUCGAUACGGUCAACUAGUAGCAUCAGGCAACCAAAUGAACCCAUUUAUUUCUUCCACCUAUACUCGAUAGUUGGCAAUAAAGAGAAACUCAAGAUUCAACUUUUACCUGGCAACUCCGACAAAUUACCUGACAUCGAAACAGACACUAACCGACAUGCAUCGAUGCUGUUGGCUCUUUUCCAAGCCAGUGGAUCCCCCUCGUUCAGGUGCUGCAUCCUGCAUGUACGCGUGAUGAAUACCGGAGAUGGCUGCAACAAUUUUCAAGUGAGCGCAGCAAAUGCAAAUAUUAAAUGUAAAGUCGUCAUGUCAGCCUUGUAUUCGGACUCGUAUGCUUCAAUUGUAAUUCAUCAAUUAUCCUGGAUGACCUCUGAUCCUGGAUUACGUCAUAAAUAAGUGGGUUGACGUAAUUCCCAGCCCAUUGCAGAUACAAGGAAAAAGAGAGAGGAUCGCAGGGAAUUAUUUCCUCGUUUUAUCUUAUCGGUACCCAUGCAACCAGCCCGCCUACCCUAAAAUCGACAUUAGUUCAGUGUAACAGACGGAGCUCCGAAGAGAUUCUGAAGUCACGUUUUAAUUGAUAAAUAUUUAAAAUGUGUUCAGCAUGCUGUGCACUAUGCAAGUGUUGUGGAAAGCUGACCAAGUGGAUUAUCACAGGUAUCAUCAUAUUCUUUGUCAUCACAGCCAUCGUAGUGCCAUAGGUUCUUUUAUUGGGUCCUGAAGAGCCGGAAUUGACAACCCUUGAGCCAUUGGUAACAACGGCCAUCAAUGAAUUAGAUUUAAAUUUAAAAGAUUCAAUAAUAUUCAAAGCCAUCGAAGACAACAUCAAAUCAACGUCGCUGUGAGCCAGUAAGACUACCAAAAACGAUUUCCAUACUUAUUCAACCUAUAUAACUGACGGAUGGCAGAUGAACUAAUAUUUCCAUUAUCAAACUGUUGAAAUGAUUUCUUGUUCAAAACAAAUAAAGUAUUCGUAACAAUAAAAAA